UGGUGCACCACCACAGAGAAGGCCUACUUUCAGGUCCUUGCCCACUUUACUUCUCAAGAGAGCAGGACGCUUCUCUACAGGAUUUCACAAUUUGGAAAAGAUGACCCCUAAAAUAACCCAGAGCUUACUACAGAUAUUUAUCUGCCAGUAAACUUCAAGACACCUCUGGAGUCCAUGUCAACCUCCUUCUUCCAACAUUUUGAAAGUUGCAUGGGCCAAGUGCUGGACCAUCUAGCCUUCCAGUCCUAUACUGUGUGAAGAACACUUAUGAAUUCUGCAAAACCUGGAUACAGGCAGCUGUUAGAACAAAAAUCCCAUUCCUAGAGGAGGAUGU